GAGAAGGAGCUCGUCUGAGCUUUAGAUUUUUAUUCUAAUGGAAGUAAUUAAAUUAUGUUACUCUUCUCG
rnacentral:tRNA from 1 species